rnacentral:rRNA from 1 species
GACGAACGCUGGCGGCGUGCUUAACACACGCAAGUCGAACGGUAAGGCCCUUCGGGGUACACGAGUGGCGAACGGGUGAGUAACACGUGGGUGAUCUGCCCCGCACUUCGGGAUAAGCCUGGGAGACUGGGUCUAAUACCGGAUAGGACCACUGCCUGCAUGGGUGGUGGUGGAAAGCUUUUGCGGUGUGGGAUGGGCCCGCGGCCUAUCAGCUUGUUGGUGGGGGGAGGGCCUACCAAGGCGACGACGGGUAGCCGGCCUGAGAGGGUGACCGGCCACACUGGGACUGAGAUACGGCCCAGACUCCUACGGGAGGCAGCAGUGGGGAAUAUUGCACAAUGGGCGCAAGCCUGAUGCAGCGACGCCGCGUGAGGGAUGACCGCCUUCGGGUUGUAAACCUCUUUCAGCACCGACGAAGCGCAAGUGACGGUAGGUGCAGAAGAAGGACCGGCCAACUACGUGCCAGCCGCCGCCGUAAAAC